AACGAACGCUGGCGGCAUGCCUAACACAUGCAAGUCGAACGAGACCUUCGGGUCUAGUGGCGCACGGGUGCGUAACGCGUGGGAAACUGCCCUUAGGUUCGGAAUAACUCCACGAAAGGGGUGCUAAUAGCGGAUAAUGUCUUCGGACCAAAGAUUUAUUGCCUUUGGAUGGGCCAGGGUUGGAUUACCUAGUUGGUAGGGAAAAAGCCUACCAAGGCGACAAUCCAUAGCUGGUCUGAGAGCAUGAUCACCCACACUGGGACUGAGACACGGCCCAGACUCCUACGGGAGUCAGCAGUAGGGAAUAUUGGACAAUGCGCGAAAGCCUGAUCCAGCAAUGCCGCGUGAGUGAUGAAGGCCUUAGGGUUGUAAAGCUCUUUUACCCGGGAUGAUAAUGACAGUACCGGGAGAAUAAGCUCCGGCUAACUCCGUG
rnacentral:rRNA from 1 species